CGCCUGGAUCCCGGACACCGUCAGACCCAAACUCCUGAUGGACUCCGGCCCUCUGAUCUGCUUCUCAGCAUCGAACACCCAGUAGUUCUCACCUGCCGAGAGAGAUGGUGAACAAUGGACGCCAUUUAACUCUUGUUGGAAAAUGUCAAACAAAGGUUUCUAUCCUGGUUACAGACUUUCGGAAAUCAGGGCAGCAAUUCAGAGGUCUGGUGUUGUGCUCCUAGAAGGCCGUUUGCCCGUUUGGAAAAACAAUUGCCCAAUCAGAGCUUUGUAUGCAGGAUUAAGAAUGGGAAUGUCAUCUUCCUACAUUGCUAGCUAGCUACAUCCAUGAAAACUAAUCAUCAAUAAAAUGAUUUAAUCGUG